rnacentral:rRNA from 1 species
CCUACGGGAGGCAGCAGUGGGGAAUUUUGGACAAUGGGCGCAAGCCUGAUCCAGCAAUGCCGCGUGAGUGAAGAAGGCCUUCGGGUUGUAAAGCUCUUUUGUCAGGGAAGAAACGGUGGGAGCUAAUAUCUCCCGCUAAUGACGGUACCUGAAGAAUAAGCACCGGCUAACUACGUGCCAGCAGCCGCGGUAAUACGUAGGGUGCAAGCGUUAAUCGGAAUUACUGGGCGUAAAGCGUGCGCAGGCGGUUUUGUAAGUCUGUCGUGAAAGCCCCGGGCUCAACCUGGGAAUUGCGAUGGAGACUGCAAGGCUUGAAUCUGGCAGAGGGGGGUAGAAUUCCACGUGUAGCAGUGAAAUGCGUAGAGAUGUGGAGGAACACCGAUGGCGAAAGGCAGCCCCCUGGGUCAAGAUUGACGCUCAUGCACGAAAGCGUGGGGAGCAAACAGGAUUAGAUACCCUGGUAGUCCACGCCCUAAACGAUGUCUACUAGUUGUCGGGUUUUAAUUAACUUGGUAACGCAGCUAACGCGUGAAGUAGACCCGCCUGGGGAGUACGGUCGCAGAUUAAAACUCAAAGGAAUUGACCGGCNGAGAGNGCGACGACGACGACGAGGAGGAGG